CAGCAAUUUCAUUAUGAUCAAGAACCAUUGAUAGGGAGCUAAUGUAGUUAUUUUGUGGGCCAAGGCACAGCUCAGCACUCCUGGACUACAUACUCUGACCUUAGAGGACUUGGGCCAGGCCCACAGCGUUGUUCUAUUGCUUCUUGAGUUUAAGUGUAUGCUAUGGUGGAAGGGCCAAGGUGUUCUUAUCUUCUGGGAAAAACGCUGCAAUACAGGGUGACAGCAAAACUACUUCAUCUGGGUGAUAGCAGUGGAAUCCACAUGUGUGCAUUAGCAGCAGCAAGGUGGUGGUGGAAUCUAUAUAUGCAUAUGCCAGAUAUAUCAUGUGUAAGCUCUGAAUGUACUUAACACCACACACCCAAAAUAUGUGAAGAAAAGACACAUAAUCAAAGAAAGAAAUAGAAAAUUAGAUAUAAUUCAGUACUACACAUUCAACAGUGAAUAGUAUACCUAGGCAGAUCAAUAACAAAAUAGAAUACGUGAAUAACACAACAACAGUAUAACAUAAUAAAGCCUGCUAUACACAUAAAGAACACAGCACACAACAAACCUGGAUACACGGUUUUCUCAAGUGUAUGUGAAACUUUAUCCAGCAUAUACUGUAUGAUAUGUUAUAAAACAUAUCUUAAGGUUUUUCUUUAAAUGAUAUAAUAAAAUAUAUUUUCUCAGACUACAAUGAAAGAAGUUAGAAAGUGAUAAUGGGAGAAAAUUUUGGAAAUUCACAAUUUUGUGGAAAUUUUUAAAAUAAUUGGUUAAAGAGGAAGUCACAAUAGAAUUCAGAAAACACCUUGGGAAUAAUUAAUACAGACACAUAACACACUAAAAUAUAUGGAAUGCAGCUAAUGCAGUGCUUAGAGGGGAAGUUAUUUUUUAUCUGGCUCUCUUACAGGAAAGAAAUAUUUCAAAUCAAUACUAUAAAUUUUCACCUUCAAAAAUUAAAAAAAGUAGAGCAAACCACAUCCAAAAUAAAUGGAAGGAAACAGUGUAUAUUAGAACAAAAAAUGAAGUAGAGAAUAGAGUUCAAUAAAGUUAUUAAUAAAACCAAAAGUUGAUUCUUAGAAAAUAUAAACCAUUAAUCAACUGAUAAAGAGAAAAACCCACAUAUUUGAAUAAAUAGAAUAACUUGAUUGCAGAUAUAAAUAUCAUUAUAUCUUUGGUGGUGAUAAGUUGAGGAAGUAUAUAUCUGGCCACUCUGGAUAUCUGUGUAAAAUAAAAUGUUAGGUGGA